UACGUAGGUGGCAAGCGUUGUCCGGAAUUAUUGGGCGUAAAGCGCGCGCAGGCGGUCCUUUAAGUCUGAUGUGAAAGCCCACGGCUCAACCGUGGAGGGUCAUUGGAAACUGGGGGACUUGAGUACAGAAGAGAAGAGUGGAAUUCCACGUGUAGCGGUGAAAAUGCGUAGAGAUGUGGAGGAACACCAGUGGCGAAAGGCGACUCUUUGGGUCUGUAACUGACGCUGAGGCGCGAAAGCGUGGGGAGCAAACAGGAUUGAGAA
rnacentral:rRNA from 1 species